UUAGCUCAUACUUGUAUGGAAUGGGAUCGUUUGCUCACGUUUGCCACUAGGGGCGCUGUUCCAACUGCAUACAAAAUUGAGUUA
rnacentral:pre_miRNA from 1 species